CCUACGGGAGGCAGCAGUCGAGAAUCAUUCACAAUGGGGGAAACCCUGAUGGUGCGACGCCGCGUGGGGGAAUGAAGGUCUUCGGAUUGUACACCCCUUUCAUGUGGGAGCAAAUUAAAAAGAUAGUACCACAAGAGGAAGAGACGACUAACUCUGUGCCAGCAGCCGCGGUAAUACAGAGGUCUCAAGCGUUGUUCGGAAUCACUGGGCGUAAAGCGUGCGUAGGCUGUUUCGUAAGUCGUGUGUGAAAGUCGCGGGCUCAACCCGCGGACGGCACAUGAGACUGAGAGACUAGAGUAAUGGAGGGGGAACCGGAAUUCUCGGUGUAGCAGUGAAAUGCGUAGAUAUCGAGAGGAACACUCGUGGCGAAGGCGGGUUCCUGGACAUUAACUGACGCUGAGGCACGAAGGCCAGGGGAGCGAAAGGGAUUAGAUACCCCUGUAGUC
rnacentral:rRNA from 1 species